UGCCUUUGCGAGAGCGGAGUUGGGUUCUCCUCAGCACAGACGCGGAGAGCAUCGCGAGGGCGGAGCUGCGUUCUCAUCUGCACAGAUUUCAGUGGUACUGCGAAGGCGGAGCAGAGUUCUCCUCAGAUGAUGAUUAUUCCCCACCUUCUAAGAGACAAAGACCAACGAGCCGCCACAGCCACCAGUCCCAGAACCCGCCAAUGCUGGGGAACGGAAAAUGAGGGAGUUCAACUCUGGCCCUCACAAUCCAGUGGAGGAGACGCAACUCAUCUGCCUCUGUCCCUCUGGGCACGCCUCGUGCCAGGUGCAUCUGUGGACAGGGGCCAUGCUCCUGGGCUUCCAAAGUUGGAGAAAGCUGCCAGGCUCAGGUCUGAAGGCCAGAAUUCUACAGUAAGUCCUACUGAGUCAAGGUGGGAGCAGGGUCGGUAGCUUCCGAGGCUCUGCGGGAGAAUCUGUUUCCUGGCCGUAGAGGUGGCCUGCACUCCUCAGCCUGUGCUGCCCGUCUCGAAUGACUGGAGUUUCCUGCUUCUGUCACUACACCUCCCACCCUCUCCAUCACCUGCUCUGCUCUUACAAGGAUCCGAAGAAAUGGAAUCAUCGUAUCGCUGAUCUACGUAAACAAACUGAAGAAUUGUCUGAAAGAAAAUAUGACAUGAACUUAUGAAUUCAAUAGGUGAAGAUUUACAACUUGAUAAAUCAACUUUGUCAGCUCGAGCUGUAAAAGCCAAAGGUCCGGUGAUGAUCCCAUACCCUUUUUUCCAGUCUCAUGUUGAAGAUUUUUAUGUAGAAGGCCUUCCCAAAGGAAUUUUUUUUUUUUUUUUUUUUUUGAGAUGGAGUUUUCACUCUUAUCGCCCAGGCUGGGGUGCAAUGGCACAACCUUGCUGGUCACUGCAACCUCUGCCUCCUGGGUUCAAGAAAUUCUCCUGCCUUAGCCUCCCAAGUCACUGGGAUUACAGGUGCCCACCACCACACCAGGCUAAUUUUUGUAUUUUUAGUGGAGAUGCGGUUUCACCAUGUUGGCCGGGCCAGUCUCGAACUCCUGACGUCAAGUGAUCUUCCCGCCUCGACUCCUGAUAUCAAGUGAUCUUCCCGCCUCGGCCUCCCAGAGUGCUGAGAUUACAGACGUGAACCCAUGCCUGGCCAGGAAUUUUGUUUUUUAGGAAGGCUUUCUACUAAUGGAAUUCCUGGCCUUGAGAGGAUGUUACUUUAGAAGGAAAGGAUUUUUUUGUUAUUAAAAGAGCCACCUAAGCUGAAGAUUCCCUUGAGAACAAGUACUGUCCCUAGUUUCCCAGUGCUGGAAUAUAGAAAAUGGAUGGACAACUGGACCUACCAUGAAAGACUUCUGAAUCCAGGAAGAGAAACUGACUGGGCAACAUGUUAUUCAGAAACAGGACCUUGCCCUGUCACUCAGGAUGGAGUUCAGUG
rnacentral:lncRNA from 1 species